GCAUUGACUCAAGGCAGCAGACGGGAACCAUCUGGCUCCUUCUGAGGUCUGUUUUUUAAGACAAGAGAGAAAGCCCCCUUUAAAGGGGACAGUGACUCUGGGCUGUGCGAUUCACACUUUUGCAUAAUAUAAAACCAGCUUUCCCAGACCUAGAAAAAUCAGGGAGAGAGGGAAGGAGGGAAGAAAUCUUUCCCAAAUGGAAGGAUUUGUCUUAGCAAAUGUUAACCAGAGGAACUGCUGCUUUUGGUCUCAGCAGAUCAGUAAAUAAACUCUCUUGAUAAGCACUAAGUAGACGAUCCAGCAACUGGUGUUUAAUUAUUAUUUGAAGUUAACCUUAACUUAAAACACAUGCACACACAGUUUUUAAAGAAUAUAAAAUUCCGUUUUGGUGAUACUGCUGUGCUAACAUCUUCCGUCCUCCCAGGAGCUACUUCUGCUGCACCACUCCCUUCCCCCAUCACCAAUCUUCUGGCUUCCAGAGUCUUUUCACUUGUUCUUAUUGAAGCACCUUUGAAUGGGUGCGAGGAAAUUAAAGGGCCUAUUAUAUUCAGCCUAGUUGCUUUGGUCUGGGGAAAACUAGAAUUACAGAUAGUGUACCCUAUUUUCCCCACCCUCCCCACCCACAAAAGAGUCAGCACCAAGUAGACUAUGUCCUCAAUUCUCC
rnacentral:lncRNA from 1 species